GCAAGGAUGUUGGUUACUUAUUUUCAUCUUUUUAGAUUUCAACAAGUUUGUUCCUCAUCAACACCUUGAAUUGCAUAUAUCGGUUCAUCGUUUUAUAUGUUUGAAAUUGAAACAAGUUCCUUUUCAAUCGCAGGUUCUAGGUCUUGAAACUGAAAUCGGAAUGUUGAAAUCGCUAGAUCUUGAGUCGCUGAUAGGUGGAACCGCGAUUAUAGAGACGAUGGGCCGCCUGGAGUUGACCGGGUCAUCGGUUCCUUGCCGUCUACCUUCUCGCCUAGGUACCCUGGUUAUGACUCUAGAGGGUCGAGUUAUCGAA